rnacentral:lncRNA from 1 species
CUCAGUAUUCAUGUCAAACACCAGGCUACUGUCCAAUUUACCUUAAAUUACACAACCCUAAAUUUUCAUGUGCAUACAAAUUGAAACAAAACAUGUUCGGACCAGAUUACAACUAUUUAAUCAACAUGGAUCAGAUCUGAACAAAAAAAUGAUUCAGGGGUAAAAUACUUUCAGCUUUCAUUUCCCUUGAAAAGCUACAUCAAAGCCAAGUUCAUAUGUGUACCUAGAAGUGCAAAGUAUCCAAAGAAAAGAGGAGGGUCAGCAGUAAUUCAAGUAGCAAAUCACAGCAACAGGAAGCAACAAGCAGUAUCAGAGCACCAUUGAUUCACUCCCAGACAAACCAAAACAGUCACAGCAAGCUCGAAACUGACACAGAUUAAGACUCAACCAAAUUCAGCUUACUUGGACCCAGAUUCAUUCAAACCAAGUUCACAAAUCCUAGCAGAUUAACCCAAAAAUGAACUGGGACAACCAGAACCGAGCAAAAACUACUAGAUCCAUGAAAUUUGAUAAAGCAGCUUGAAAUUUAAACCCAAACAGCAAAGAACAAAAGAUCUCAACUGAUGCUAUCUUCAAACCAAUGGAAAAGUCAUUAUUUUUUUGUUUUUUUGUUUUUUGUUUUUUUUCUGUUUUUUGAAUGUUUUUGUGUGUUUUUAGUUUUUGAUAUGGAAAACUAGCUGAGAUUUAUGAAAAAAAUGAAGAAACAAACAGGCUUUUAGAGCUUUUUAGUCUGAAA